GGGAAUGUGGCUUAGUGGUAGAGUUCUUGCCUAUUAUGUAUGAAGCUCUGGGUUCAAAUCCUCAGUACCA
rnacentral:tRNA from 1 species